rnacentral:rRNA from 1 species
UGGGGAAUAUUGCACAAUGGGCGCAAGCCUGAUGCAGCCAUGCCGCGUGUGUGAAGAAGGCCUUCGGGUUGUAAAGCACUUUCAGCGAGGAGGAAGGUGGUGAGCUUAAUACGCUCAUCAAUUGACGUUACUCGCAGAAGAAGCACCGGCUAACUCCGUGCCAGCAGCCGCGGUAAUACGGAGGGUGCAAGCGUUAAUCGGAAUUACUGGGCGUAAAGCGCACGCAGGCGGUUUGUUAAGUCAGAUGUGAAAUCCCCGGGCUCAACCUGGGAACUGCAUUUGAAACUGGCAAGCUAGAGUCUCGUAGAGGGGGGUAGAAUUCCAGGUGUAGCGGUGAAAUGCGUAGAGAUCUGGAGGAAUACCGGUGGCGAAGGCGGCCCCCUGGACGAAGACUGACGCUCAGGUGCGAAAGCGUGGGGCAGCAAACAGGAUUAGAUACCCUGGUAGUCCACGCUGUAAACGAUGUCGAUUUUGGAGGUUGUGCCCUUGAGGCGUGGCUUCCGGAGCUAACGCGUUAAAUCGACCGCCUGGGGAGUACGGCCGCAAGGUUAAAACUUAAAUGAAUUGACGGGGUCAUAGCUGUUCCU